CGGAAAUGUUACACCCAAAAUUAUCAUACGAACUCGUGUGGAUGUGGUUCUUUUAAAAAUUCGAAUUGAAAACGACUUACAUGUGUGUCAUAGCUUGUGCUGAGUAGUGAUUUAUCAU